rnacentral:rRNA from 1 species
GAUGAACGCUGGCGGCGUGCCUAAUACAUGCAAGUCGAGCGAAUGGAUUAAGAGCUUGCUCUUAUGAAGUUAGCGGCGGACGGGUGAGUAACACGUGGGUAACCUGCCCAUAAGACUGGGAUAACUCCGAGAAACCGGGGCUAAUACCGGAUAACAUUUUGAACCGCAUGGUUCGAAAUUGAAAGGCGGCUUCGGCUGUCACUUAUGGAUGGACCCGCGUCGCAUUAGCUAGUUGGUGAGGUAACGGCUCAACAAGGCAACGAAGCGUAGCCGUCCUGAGAGGGUGAUCGGCCACACUGGGACUGAGACACGGCCCAGACUCCUACGGGAGGCAGCAGUAGGGAAUCUUCCGCAAUGGACGAAAGUCUGACGGAGCAACGCCGCGUGAGUGAUGAAGGCUUUCGGGUCGUAAAACUCUGUUGUUAGGGAAGAACAAGUGCUAGUUGAAUAAGCUGACACCUUGACGGUACCUAACCAGAAAGCCACGGCUAACUACGUGCCAGCCGCCGCGGUAA